CUACGGGAGGCAGCAGUGGGGAAUUUUGGACAAUGGGCGAAAGCCUGAUCCAGCAAUGCCGCGUGUGUGAAGAAGGCCUUCGGGUUGUAAAGCACUUUUGUCCGGAAAGAAAUCCUUGGCUCUAAUACAGUCGGGGGAUGA
rnacentral:rRNA from 1 species